rnacentral:rRNA from 1 species
UACGGAGGGUGCGAGCGUUGUCCGGAAUCAUUGGGCGUAAAGGGCGCGUAGGUGGUGCGGUCAGUCAGUGGUGAAAGCGCGGGGCUCAACUCCGCGUCGGCCAUUGAUACUGCUGCACUUGAGCACUGUAGAGGCAGGCGGAAUUCCGGGUGUAGCGGUGGAAUGCGUAGAGAUCCGGAAGAACACCGGUGGCGAAGGCGGCCUGCUGGGCAGUGAGCUGGACACUGAGGCGCGACAGCGUGGGGAGCAAACAGG